UUUUGUGGUUGACUCUAUACAUUACAUAUGCGAAUAUGAUCACGUUUGGGACAUUUGAUUUUAUCCAUCAAGUAUUGUGGAGCAACUUGAGUGUAAAUUGGACAUUUAAAUGCAAAAUGCAAGACGUAAACAACUGUUUCUGAAAACAAGCUCGUCUGCUUUUUAUUUGUACGGAAGCAAAAUCUUAUGUGGGCCCAGUCACCGUGCCGCCAAUGUCUCGAUUGAAAAUGGAAAGAAGAUAGCAAGAAGCCUGCUAUAAAGUGUGCUUGAAGUUUAAGGUGCGUUUACAACAUCUCUUGGUUAUGGGAAAAAAUAAUGGGUGCGCUUUAUAGCAAUGAACUUGUGAACCUUCAAUGACGCAGUUGAUUCAUCAAAUCGAGUGCAACCACAUCUUAAGAGCCAGCUGUCAAAUCAUUGAUCAAGCCUAAAUACAAAAUCAAAUCAAAUUGAAUAGCAAAUGGUACCUUGUUAUAAUGCAUACCAUGCGGUGUAAAUAAUGAUUGAAACUUAAUUAAUAUACUUUGGUGUUUGGAAACAAUUCGAAUGGGCCUAAGUAGACAAGUAAUCAGUCAAGUGUAAUUUGUGUUUUACUGGUUAAGUUGAGUUUUAACGCU